UCGGCUUAGAGUUUGAUCCUGGCUCAGAGUGAACGCUGGCGGCAUGCUUAACACAUGCAGGUCGCACGGAUGCUUCGGCAUUAGUGGCGGACGGGUGAGUAACGCGUAGGGAUCUAUCCACGAGUGGGGGAUAACUUUGGGAAACUGAAGCUAAUACCGCAUGAUACCUGAGGGUCAAAGGAGUGAUCCGCUUGUGGAGGAACCUGCGUUUGAUUAGCUAGCUGGUGGGGUAAAGGCCUACCAAGGCGAUGAUCAAUAGCUGGUUUGAGAGGAUGAUCAGCCACACUGGGACUGAGACACGGCCCAGACUCCUACGGGAGGCAGCAGUGGGGAAUAUUGGACAAUGGGGGCAACCCUGAUCCAGCAAUGCCGCGUGUAUGAAGAAGGUCUUCGGAUUGUAAAGUACUUUCGACAGGGACGAUGAUGACGGUACCUGUAGAAGAAGCCCCGGCUAACUUCGUGCCAGCAGCCGCGGUAAUACGAAGGGGGCUAGCGUUACUCGGAAUGACUGGGCGUAAAGGGCGCGUAGGCGGCUUAUACAGUCAGAUGUGAAAUUCCUGGGCUUAACCUGGGACCUGCAUUUGAUACGUAUAGGCUAGAGUGUGAAAGAGGAUUGUGGAAUUCCAAGUGUAGAGGUGAAAUUCGUAGAUAUUCGGAGGAACACCGGUGGCGAAGGCGGCAAUCUGGUUCACAACUGACGCUGAAGCGCGAAAGCCUGGGGAGCAAACAGGAUUAGAUACCCUGCUAGUCCACGCUGUAAACCAUG
rnacentral:rRNA from 1 species